rnacentral:rRNA from 1 species
GACGAACGCUGGCGGCGUGCCUAACACAUGCAAGUCGAACGAGGUCCAUGGAGUGGCAACACUCCGGAAGACCUAGUGGCGAACGGGUGAGUAACACGUGAGGAACUUGCCCCGGAGACCGGGAUAACCCUCCGAAAGGAGAGCUAAUACCGGAUGUCCUCACCGAGUCGCAUGGCUUGGUGAGGAAAUGGAUUCCGCUCCGGGAGAGCCUCGCGGCCUAUCAGCUAGUUGGUGGGGUAACGGCCCACCAAGGCGUCGACGGGUAGCUGGUCUGAGAGGACGAUCAGCCACACUGGGACUGAGACACGGCCCAGACUCCUACGGGAGGCAGCAGUGGGGAAUCUUGCGCAAUGGGCGAAAGCCUGACGCAGCAACGCCGCGUGCGGGAUGAAGGCCCUCGGGUUGUAAACCGCUUUCAGUGGGGACGAACCAAGACGGUACCCACAGAAGAAGGUCCGGCCAACUACGUGCCAGCCGCCGCCGUAAUAC